UCCCAGACUCCUACGGGAGGCAGCAGUGAGGGAUAUUGGGCAAUGGGGGAAACCCUGACCCAGCGACGCCGCGUGAGGGAAGACGGUCUUCGGAUUGUAAACCUCUUUCUUUGGGGACGAAAAAGGACGGUACCCAAGGAGGAAGCUCCGGCUAACUACGUGCCAGCAGCCGCGGUAAUACGUAGGGAGCGAGCGUUGUCCGGAAUUACUGGGUGUAAAGGGAGCGUAGGCGGGAUUGCAAGUUGGAUGUGAAAGCUGCGGGCUCAACCCGGAGCGUGCAUUCAAAACUGCGAUUCUUGAGUGAAGUAGAGGCAAGCGGAAUUCCUAGUGUAGCGGUGAAAUGCGUAGAUAUUAGGAGGAACACCAGUGGCGAAGGCGGCCUGCUGGACGAUGACUGACGUUGAGGCUCGAAAGCGUGGGGAGCAAGCAGGAUUAGAUACCCUCGUAA
rnacentral:rRNA from 1 species